UACGUAGGGGGCAAGCGUUGUCCGGAUUUAUUGGGCGUAAAGGGCUCGUAGGCGGUCUGUUACGUCGGGAGUGAAAACUCAGGGCUCAACCCUGAGCCUGCUUCCGAUACGGGCAGACUAGAGGUAUGCAGGGGAGAAUGGAAUUCCUGGUGUAGCGGUGAAAUGCGCAGAUAUCAGGAGGAACACCGGUGGCGAAGGCGGUUCUCUGGGCAUUACCUGACGCUGAGGAGCGAAAGUGUGGGGAGCGAACAGG
rnacentral:rRNA from 1 species